AUUGAACGCUGGCGGCAGGCCUAACACAUGCAAGUCGAGCGGGGUUUUCGGACCUAGCGGCGGACGGGUGAGUAAUGCGUAGGAAGCUACCCGAUAGAGGGGGAUACCAGUUGGAAACGACUGUUAAUACCGCAUAAUGUCUACGGACCAAAGUGUGGGACCUUCGGGCGACAUGCUAUCUGAGGCGCCUACGUGGGAUUAGCUAGUUGGUGGGGUAAUGGCUCACCAAGGCGACGAUCCCUAGCUGGUUUGAGAGGAUGAUCAGCCACACUGGAACUGAGACACGGUCCAGACUUCUACGGGAGGCAGCAGUGGGAAUAUUGGACAAUGGGCGCAAGCCUGAUCCAGCCAUGCCGCGUGUGUGAAGAAGGCCUUCGGGUUGUAAAGCACUUUCAGCGAGGAGGAAGGGUUAGUAGUUAAUAGCUGCUAAUUUUGACGUUACUCGCAGAAGAAGCACCGGCUAACUCUGUGCCAGCCGCCGCGGUAAAAC
rnacentral:rRNA from 1 species